CUUCAUGCAGGUCCCACGGCAGCACUCAGCAGGCAGGGGUGCCUGUGACUCCUGAAGCCCCAGAGGGCAUGUUACAGUACUCUUUUAGCUCUGCCAUCUGCAAACAGCUUACGUGUUAACAGCUCAGUGGGCCCUUUGCCUUUUUAUGUGAGGUGGCUGCCCUCCAUUAGCAAGGGCAAAGGGGCAGUGUGACAGCCUUUUGUAUCUGCACUCAUGGCUCCCAGACUCUUGUCCAGCAUCCAGGAAAAAUGAGGUCACACGAAUGAAUUGAAGGAUGGUAAAUUUGGAGGAUUUUAUUGCCAAUUAAAGUGGCUCUCAGUGGGAAAUGAAACUGAAAAGGAGACGGUGUGGGACUCAAGAAUUAGAGUGAAAACUUACUGUUUUUGCUGCUGACCUCUCAUGCUUUCCUAUGGCACCAGAGCUCUGAUUUUGAAGAACAUCCUUUACAUACCGUCUGCUGAGAUGUCAGUAAAAAUGCCUUAUCCAGACCUGAGGAUCCAGCCAUACUGAGGAAGAUGUGACCCAAAUUUCACAUCUGAGUCAAUCCUGAGACUUUGACAUGAACACUUGACAGAGAGGGCUUCUUACUUUCACUAAACUCAAGACUGCUCAUAUAGCAUGUAAAUCUGAUUCUUCCAGAACCCAUCUUGCCAGUAAGAGGGACCAGAGUUUUCCUGGGAAAAUGGGGCAGACAAAUGAAAAUAAAUGGAGCUACUACAGAAGACAGCAGAGUCAAUAAGUGGAAAGACUCUAGAUGCUAAGGAUGUCACUUGAACCCCUGGAUUCAGCUGUGACUUUUCAGCCACCUGAAAUAAUUUCCCUUGUUGGUUUAAAUACACUGAAAAGAGAGAGAGAGAGAGAGAGAGAGAGAGAGAGAGAGAGAGAGAGAGAGAGUAUACUAUUAUAUAUAAUAUAUAUGCACUAUUAUAUAUUUAUUUACUUACAGCUGAAAGAUGCCCAAAUCAAGUGACUCUCAAUGCUGCCAUACCCCCAUUUAUCCCCAGUGAUGAGGAACUUACUGUCACAUGUAAGUUCCAUCCUUGGACUGACUUUUAAAAAGCUAUAUAUAAUUAUUUAAAAUUUCUUUACUUUAUACCCAUUGUUCCUGUUGCCUCACUUGGAGUCAGAUGGAGUAUGCCUGUUUCUUCACAAAGGCCUAUAGAUAUUGGAAUAUUACACUAGUCCCUCUUCCUUAAUUUGCCCAUCUCCUGUCCAAAGUUUCUUAUAUACUGAGACUUCCAAUCUAAACCUUAAGAUUAUCUUAUCUACAAAAUGUUUUUAAUAAGUAUGCAUCAAAAUGACUAUUUUUGUUAUCUUGCAUAAUUGUCAGAAUUAAAAUUGAAUUAUCUUUAGGUGCCUGCCCACACAUUAAACUUUUUUCUUUUCCCCCCUUUUAUAAGAAAACUCCAAAACAGAUUAUAAAAUGAGGAAUGAUUAAUACAUUCCAUUUAUACGAAAUAGUGCAAGCCCACAUAUCCCAGAGAAACACGGAAACAGCUGCCAAACCUACUCACUUCAUUUUUCAUGAAAUGAGAACAGCUGUUGAGUGUCUCAUAAAUAUCUAGGGCAAGACAUGAAGAAAUUACAAAGGAAACCCUUUCCAAGUAGGAAGUAUAUGUUCCCAAAUCCUUGAAAAUUCAUCUCAGAGCAUGGUAAAGCCAAGUAAGCUCGUUAAAGUUAAUGUAUGAGUUCCACAGAAGACAAGAGACUUUUCCAGAGUCCCAAAGAGAUAGCCAUAGAUCUCAGAUCUUUCUUCUUUGAUGCCAAUUUUACACACAGCAUAUAAUGAAUUACCAAAUAAAUGGUUCAGAUAUCAAGUGCAUUGGAUUUAGAGAAGGGAGAUAACCAUAAGAAGUGGAGAUGCUAGGCAAUUUUUUAGCUUGGUCAAUGGCUGAGAUUUAGUCAGGAGCUUUACCUCCAUUCUGUCUAAAUUCCUAAACAGUAAGAUGAGAUUCCAUGAACUAAGGGAAAUGCUAUUAGAGUCUCUAGUUACUCAAGUAUUCAUUCAGACAAAUAUUUACUGUUUUUAAGUACCAUGGACAAGGCACUGUGUUAAAUACAUUGUAUGUAUUGUCAAGGCAGAAGGUGUGGAGGUGGGGUGGGAAAGAGAUGAUGCCUUCUCUGAAGAAGUUUACAAAUUCUGAGGAAGUUCCCAAGACAUAUAUUUUUCAAUGUUCAGUAACAAUAAAUGCAGUGCUAUGUUUUAACUCAUCCUCUUAAGUCAUGGGGAAUUCCUUUUAUCCCUAGAAAACAGAUGACACUGACCUUAAAUGUUUGGUAAAUACAUUUCUAGGUAAAAAGUUGAGACCUUAGGUUAUGACCUUAAAUGUCUUAUCUUAUUCUUCCUUUAUUUUUUCAACUACCCAUCCUUCAAAAUUUAUUCCAAUUCUCUGCUUAUCUACAGAGCUUUCUUUGAUGUUCCCUCCACUGACAUUAACCUUUUAAUGAGCCCUUUAGCAUAUUACUGGUAUUUUUCUUGAUGCUUAAGCAUAUGAUUUUUAAUACAGUUACUUAACUGCUUUCUAUGUUAGGGGUUAUUUCCUCAGCUACAUUGAGCAUCUGGGCGAUAAAUGCCUUACAAUUCCUUAGUUUCUAGAACAACAUAAGUAUUCCAUGUAUUGCAAGGAAAUAAAUUAAUAAAUGCCAUACCCCUUUGAUUCUUCAUUGCCAAUUAAGUCUACUCCACAGAACUUGUCCUCCUGGCCAUCUAAGCCCAGUCAUGUCUGAGUCAUAAGAAAAUAUACCUUAAGGACAGAUACUGAUUUUUAUUUUAAUUUUACUGUAUUUCCCUAGUUGAGGCAACCUCCAUUGUUAACGUACUUCAUCCAGUACUAGCCCUGUGAGACAUCUGUGAAGGAAUGAAAUUCAGUGAUAAGAUAUAAUUACAGAUAAUCAAAUUAGUCAAAAUGAUAUAAGAUUAUCUAUCAUUGAAGCACAAUAUGAUCCAGAGAAGUAUAAACUAAUAGAAGAGCAGCCACUGAAAACUACAGCCAAAUCAUCACUUAUCUUGCCUGAAAAUGUAAGAAAUUUCAAUUAUCUGGUGUGUGUGGGGAACAUGAGAGAUUUUCAUUAUUCUCAGUGAAUGUAUGGAGUCCAUGCUUUGAAGAAUAUUAGUAAGCUUGGUCAACUGCAGAAGUGAUGGGCUAAGUAUUUGAAAGAAAGGAAGAGAACUAAGCUUUAAUGACCUUUAACAGAAACUUAGUAGGCUACUAAUACGUAGGAUUUAGACAUAUAUAUGCCAAUUAUGUGUAUGUAUUAAUAUUGUUUAUGCUACUGCAUGACUUUCAACCAUUAAAAAAAAAAGAACUUACAUGUUUACUUAGUUAUCACUAGGAAUACCCUCUUAGCAGUUUAGAAGCCUACCUGUAGUAUUUCCCCUUGGGCAGGGUCAAUUUUUAAAGAUGACAUCACCCAAGAAUAAUGGCCAUGAAUUGCCCUCAGAGGAAUCACCUUAAAGGAGAACUUUAUUUUUGUUCUACUUGGUCUGAUCAAUU
rnacentral:lncRNA from 1 species